CACAUGAAAGUUUUGAAAUUAGUUUCAACAAAGACUUUUAUUUCAUUUAUUUAUGAAAUAAAUUGGUUGCACGAGAUCUUUUAAUUGGCAGUCUUUAUCACUUGCAUGUUGAUGCGAAUGUGAACUUAAAUGAGAAAAUAGUGAGUGCCGUAGGCCAAAAGAGAAUUAAAGAUGAAAUUAACCAGAAGUACUUGUGGCAUCAUAGACUAGAUCAUAUUGGAGAGGACAGG
rnacentral:lncRNA from 1 species